GAGAGAAGGGGGCGGGGUUUAAUGGCGACACGGUCGACGCCAAUUCCAACUCACUCACAGGGCUCGAGGCAUCCACCUCGGCUUGCUCGCUCUCUCUCUCUCUCUCAUGGUUUCUCCUCAAUAAUAGAUACCGAGAGAGAUAGAGAGGCCAAGCCUCAAUUCAACCAGCCUGCACUCUGCUGCCACGAUCAAAAGUCUCCUCUACUCGCAGUCUCACCUCACGUGUCCACACGCGCCACUGUUCGAUCCGAUCCGAUCUCAGCAUCUCUGGUAUUCAAUGGACGAAGACCAAUAAGAUUGUUCCGAUCUAAGCGUGGUAUUCACCGGACCGGCUUUGGAGUGGCCAAAAGGCCUGAUAUGACUGGUGUGAUUUGCUUGUGAAAGGGAUAAAGAAUACGGAGAAAGAGAGAGAGUCAGAGAGAGAGUUUACAAAGAGCGCAGAGGCAGGAAGGAGUCCUUCUGUUUCAGACAGACUCAGAGGGCGCCGCUUUCGGUCUCCUUCGCAUUCUAGAGAGAGAAAGAUUCACUGUGAUGCUUAAUCAUGGAGGACGCCAACAAACCAUAGAAUAGUACUGUCCUGAGAGAAGAAGAUUUAAUCAUUGUCAUUAUGCUUAUUCAAUGGCAUUUAUAAUGACAAAUCUAACUCGGGCAAGAAUGCCUUGGUUAAUUGGUUUGUCCUCAAUUUUUGCUUUCUUUUAUUUUAUUUGCUAGAACUAGAAUGACCCAUAGAGAGAUUGUUCUUUUUGUUAGACAAUCUAUACAUACAUUUGAGCACAAAAAAUAUGUAUCCUUGAGAUAGGCACUCGCAAAAAUUGUCAAUUCCCGAACCCUUGCAUAA